GACAGUGUGGUCUAGUGGUUUAAGGGUUGGAUUCGGACUCUGGGGACCAGGGUUCGAAUCCCUGCUUCAACA